rnacentral:rRNA from 1 species
GAUGAACGCUAGCGGCAGGCCUAAUACAUGCAAGUCGAACGAGAUUAAGAGGCUUGCUUCUUAUGAAAGUGGCGCACGGGUGCGUAACGCGUAUGCAACCUACCUUAAUCAGGGGGAUAGCCCGAAGAAAUUCGGAUUAAGACCGCAUAAAAACGCAGGAUAGCAUUAUCCAAUGUUCAAAUAUUUAUAGGAUUAAGAUGGGCAUGCGUGUCAUUAGCUAGUUGGCGGGGUAACGGCCCACCAAGGCGACGAUGACUAGGGGAUCUGAGAGGAUGACCCCCCACACUGGUACUGAGACACGGACCAGACUCCUACGGGAGGCAGCAGUAAGGAAUAUUGGUCAAUGGAGGGAACUCUGAACCAGCCAUGCCGCGUGCAGGAAGACAGCCCUCUGGGUCGUAAACUGCUUUUAUUCGGGAAUAAACCUUUCUACGUGUAGGAAGCUGAAUGUACCGAAGGAAUAAGGAUCGGCUAACUCCGUG